rnacentral:rRNA from 1 species
GGGUUGUGAGGUUAAGCGACUAAGCGUACACGGUGGAUGCCCUGGCAGUCAGAGGCGAUGAAGGGCGUGCUAAUCUGCGAUAAGCGCCGGUAAGGUGAUAUGAACCGUUAUAACCGGCGAUACCCGAAUGGGGAAACCCAGUGUGACUCGUCACACUAUCAUUAACUGAAUCCAUAGGUUAAUGAGGCGAACCGGGGGAACUGAAACAUCUAAGUACCCCGAGGAAAAGAAAUCAACCGAGAUUCCCCCAGUAGCGGCGAGCGAACGGGGAGUAGCCCAGAGCCUGAAUCAGCAUGUGUGUUAGUGGAAGCGUCUGGAAAGGCGCGCGAUACAGGGUGACAGCCCCGUACACAAAAGCGCAUGUGCUGUGAGCUCGAUGAGUAGGGCGGGACACGUGGUAUCCUGUCUGAAUAUGGGGGGACCAUCCUCCAAGGCUAAAUACUCCUGACUGACCGAUAGUGAACCAGUACCGUGAGGGAAAGGCGAAAAGAACCCCGGCGAGGGGAGUGAAAAAGAACCUGAAACCGUGUACGUACAAGCAGUGGGAGCACAGGUUUACCUGUGUGACUGCGUACCUUUUGUAUAAUGGGUCAGCGACUUAUAUUCUGUAGCAAGGUUAACCGUAUAGGGGAGCCGUAGGGAAACCGAGUCUUAACCGGGCGUUAAGUUGCAGGGUAUAGACCCGAAACCCGGUGAUCUAGCCAUGGGCAGGUUGAAGGUUGGGUAACACUAACUGGAGGACCGAACCGACUAAUGUUGAAAAAUUAGCGGAUGACCUGUGGCUGGGGGUGAAAGGCCAAUCAAACCGGGAGAUAGCUGGUUCUCCCCGAAAGCUAUUUAGGUAGCGCCUCGUGAAUUCAUCUCCGGGGGUAGAGCACUGUUUCGGCUAGGGGGCCAUCCCGGCUUACCAACCCGAUGCAAACUGCGAAUACCGGAGAAUGUUAUCACGGGAGACACACGGCGGGUGCUAACGUCCGUCGUGAAGAGGGAAACAACCCAGACCGCCAGCUAAGGUCCCAAAGUCAUGGUUAAGUGGGAAACGAUGUGGGAAGGCCCAGACAGCCAGGAUGUUGGCUUAGAAGCAGCCAUCAUUUAAAGAAAGCGUAAUAGCUCACUGGUCGAGUCGGCCUGCGCGGAAGAUGUAACGGGGCUAAACCAUGCACCGAAGCUGCGGCAGCGACGCUGAUGCGUUGUUGGGUAGGGGAGCGUUCUGUAAGCCUGCGAAGGUGGCCUGUGAGGGUUGCUGGAGGUAUCAGAAGUGCGAAUGCUGACAUAAGUAACGAUAAAGCGGGUGAAAAGCCCGCUCGCCGGAAGACCAAGGGUUCCUGUCCAACGUUAAUCGGGGCAGGGUGAGUCGACCCCUAAGGCGAGGCCGAAAGGCGUAGUCGAUGGGAAACGGGUUAAUAUUCCCGUACUUGGUGUUACUGCGAAGGGGGGACGGAGAAGGCUAUGUUGGCCGGGCGACGGUUGUCCCGGUUUAAGCGUGUAGGUGUGUGUUCCAGGUAAAUCCGGUUCACUUUAACACUGAGGCGUGAUGACGAGGCACUACGGUGCUGAAGCAACAAAUGCCCUGCUUCCAGGAAAAGCCUCUAAGCAUCAGGUAACAUCAAAUCGUACCCCAAACCGACACAGGUGGUCAGGUAGAGAAUACCAAGGCGCUUGAGAGAACUCGGGUGAAGGAACUAGGCAAAAUGGUGCCGUAACUUCGGGAGAAGGCACGCUGACACGUAGGUGAAGUGAUUUACUCAUGGAGCUGAAGUCAGUCGAAGAUACCAGCUGGCUGCAACUGUUUAUUAAAAACACAGCACUGUGCAAACACGAAAGUGGACGUAUACGGUGUGACGCCUGCCCGGUGCCGGAAGGUUAAUUGAUGGGGUCAGCGCAAGCGAAGCUCCUGAUCGAAGCCCCGGUAAACGGCGGCCGUAACUAUAACGGUCCUAAGGUAGCGAAAUUCCUUGUCGGGUAAGUUCCGACCUGCACGAAUGGCGUAAUGAUGGCCAGGCUGUCUCCACCCGAGACUCAGUGAAAUUGAACUCGCUGUGAAGAUGCAGUGUACCCGCGGCAAGACGGAAAGACCCCGUGAACCUUUACUAUAGCUUGACACUGAACAUUGAGCCUUGAUGUGUAGGAUAGGUGGGAGGCUUUGAAGUGUGGACGCCAGUCUGCAUGGAGCCGACCUUGAAAUACCACCCUUUAAUGUUUGAUGUUCUAACGUGGACCCGUGAUCCGGGUUGCGGACAGUGUCUGGUGGGUAGUUUGACUGGGGCGGUCUCCUCCUAAAGAGUAACGGAGGAGCACGAAGGUUGGCUAAUCCUGGUCGGACAUCAGGAGGUUAGUGCAAUGGCAUAAGCCAGCUUGACUGCGAGCGUGACGGCGCGAGCAGGUGCGAAAGCAGGUCAUAGUGAUCCGGUGGUUCUGAAUGGAAGGGCCAUCGCUCAACGGAUAAAAGGUACUCCGGGGAUAACAGGCUGAUACCGCCCAAGAGUUCAUAUCGACGGCGGUGUUUGGCACCUCGAUGUCGGCUCAUCACAUCCUGGGGCUGAAGUAGGUCCCAAGGGUAUGGCUGUUCGCCAUUUAAAGUGGUACGCGAGCUGGGUUUAGAACGUCGUGAGACAGUUCGGUCCCUAUCUGCCGUGGGCGCUGGAGAACUGAGGGGGGCUGCUCCUAGUACGAGAGGACCGGAGUGGACGCAUCACUGGUGUUCGGGUUGUCAUGCCAAUGGCACUGCCCGGUAGCUAAAUGCGGAAGAGAUAAGUGCUGAAAGCAUCUAAGCACGAAACUUGCCCCGAGAUGAGUUCUCCCUGAGACUUAAAGUCUCCUGAAGGAACGUUGAAGACGACGACGUUGAUAGGCCGGGUGUGUAAGCGCAGCGAUGCGUUGAGCUAACCGGUACUAAUGAACCGUGAGGCUUAACCUUACAACGCCGAAG